rnacentral:rRNA from 1 species
UACAGAGGGUGCAAGCGUUAAUCGGAAUAACUGGGCGUAAAGCGCAUGUAGGUGGUUUAUCAAGUCUGAUGUGAAAUCCCUGGGCUCAACCCAGGAACUGCGUCCGAUACUGGAAGGCUUGAAUCCGGGAGAGGGAUGCGGAAUUCCAGGUGUAGCGGUGAAAUGCGUAGAUAUCUGGAGGAACACCGGUGGCGAAGGCGGCAUCCUGGACCGGUAUUGACGCUGAGGCGCGAAAGCCAGGGGAGCAAACGGGG